AUGACUUAUUCUGUUCCUAAUCACCCUCCUGAUUUGUGUAGUUUCUGAGUGAUGGUUAACGAGAUAUUUCUAGCAGAGUUUAUAAAGGAAGCGAGUCUUCAAUAUAAAGGUUUUCAAGAUCUGUGAAGAAAAACGUGAUAGAACAGGAUGUGACUGGAUCCUCAACUUUUCGUCGCUUGACAGGGAGAGUCACCUUAUUAGGUCUGGUAAUAGGAAUGAACCUGAGAUGACUAGUGCUACAUCAACUUAACUUCCUUCCAGGGGAAGGAAAAUAAAUUGUAACGACAAGAAAAAAAUAUACCAUGUACUGUCAUGAGCUUUUCCAUGCACUCAAGUCCUGAGGCAAAACCCACUGAAGACUUCCUGACAUCAAUGGGCUUUGGAUCUAAUCCAUAGACAGCUAGUUUCUUUGGAAAAUGUUGAGUGAAAUCAAAUCAGCUGAAGGAGGCACUUCAGUGACGCAAUUCAUCUAAUUCCGAAGUCGAUGCAGCGGUGAUGCAGUUUGAUCCUGAAUGGUUUCUCCUUUCCUAGCUGAUGAUAAAUGGACUCAAAUAUCAUGGAGAUGCUCAGCACCUGCUGGACUGACACCAUAUGCUUCUGUCUUGGAGAAACAGACUUUUUCUCAGCAGGAGGAGACAUCAAGUUGAUCCAUAGAGGAAGGCCAUGCGAAUGCAUCUGUAUUGCCUGGCACGCAUAGGUAUAAGGACUUGCGCAUUUUGUCCAAGAAAUCUGUCAGAGAUCCAUCACACUGCUAGCAGGACUGUGAAUUAUAAGCGGCAUAUAAAGCUGGUGGGAGAUGACAACAGGAUGAAUGCACUCUCUUGGUUUUACCACUUUCUUAAAUCUAGAUUUCCUAAUAAGGAAUAAUAGAAGAAAACAGCAUUGCAAUGACUUUUUAGAUUAGGUGUUAUAUAAACAAUUCAUGUUAAAAAGUAGUUCAAAGUUUUUAAGUACAUAUCUAUAAAAUUAUGAGGUAAAUUAUAUUAUUAGAUGCUUUAUAAAGUGUAAACAGCCUUGAAAAUCUGCUUGUCUCAAAUCUAUACUGAAAUCAUGUUGCAAUUGAAUUUGAUGAGGUUUUUGUUUCUGUUGUGCUUUUCAAAAGAUGAUCUGGACAUGAUCUCAAAUCUUGGAAUUUUAAUCUAUAGUUCAAAAUGGUAUCCUCUAAAUUUCUCACUGUAGAAAAGCUUUUAAAUGACACCAGAUUGUAGCUGAGCUGUAGAUUUCAGGAAGUACUUAUUAAGGUAUCUGCAGUGUGUUAGGUCUACAAAAUCAACUUACAACUUUAGAAAUCCAUUAUUUCCAUUUGGGUUUAGGUUUUCC